rnacentral:rRNA from 1 species
GUAGGUGGCAAGCGUUGUCCGGAAUUAUUGGGCGUAAAGCGCGCGCAGGCGGUUCUUUAAGUCUGAUGUGAAAGCCCACGGCUCAACCGUGGAGGGUCAUUGGAAACUGGAGAACUUGAGUACAGAAGAGGAAAGCGGAAUUCCACGUGUAGCGGUGGAAUGCGUAGAGAUGUGGAGGAACACCAGUGGCGAAGGCGGCUUUCUGGUCUGUAACUGACGCUGAGGCGCGAAAGCGUGGGGAGCAAACAGGGAUUAGAUACCCUGGUAGUCCACGCCGUAAACGAUGAGUGCUAAGUGUUAGGGGGGUUUCCGCCCCCUUAGUGCUGCAGCUAACGCAUUAAGCACUCCGCCUGGGGAGUACGGCCGCAAGGCUG